GUGGCGUGUUUAUUGUCCAGGCUGAUUGAUGGUUUUGGUGAAGUGCGUUUAUGCUCAUACAAGCAAGACAUACUGACUGUUGUAGCCAAAUCUGAUGUUUGAUGAAGCUCUACCUCCAAUGAGAUGUAACCUUAUAGCCCACUUAAGUACAACUGGAUUUUUUGUGAUCGAGUUAAGGAUCCUACUUUAGACGCGAGAGCCUUAAAUUGCGUUUGGUAUUCUGCUGCGGAUCUCGUUUGCUUCAAUUUUGCUAAUUCUCCCAACUUAUUGCUUCGAAUUGGUGGGCCAAAACGUAAGUGACACUGAUUUUUGAAUUCUUCCCAUGUCGGGUCUGGAUGAUCAUUAAGCAACUGGAUGAACCAAAGCUGAGCAAUGCCCUCCAAAUGAAAGGAAGCCAGACUAACCUUAUCUUCUUCUAGCGUUUGCUGGUGUCUAAAGAAGUGCUCGCACCUGUUAAGCUAGCCCAAGGGAUCAUCGAGUCCAUUGAAACUAGGAAAAUCUAAUUUCGUAAAUUUUGGAACGGUGGAACUGCUUCCUGAAUUAUCUGAACCUACUGCCCCUUCAUUUCCCUUGUUGUUAGAGUGAUGUGAAUGACUGCUCCCUUCCAAAUUGUGCUUAGCACUAACCUUGGUAACAUCACGUGCAAGGGCCUCCAAUUUCGAGUUCAAUUCUUCUUGAUGAGCUCGAUUUGCAGCCUGCUCUUCAAGGAAGAGAUGCAAGAUUCUCUCAAGCUGUUGUUGGAUUGAUUCACCCAUAACUUUAGGAUUUGAUACCAAAUUGGUACUGUCCAUCAAGAUGGAUUUGGUCAUGGGACGCUGAGUGGAAGCUUCGGAUGAAAGAUCUAAAGGCUUGAAG
rnacentral:misc_RNA from 1 species